rnacentral:misc_RNA from 1 species
CCGGGUCCAAGCAACACAGUUAGCAAAAAGAUAUGGAGGCCCUUGUAGAUACUUUUCUUGGAAGGAAGUUCAAGACCUCCCGAUUCAAGAUUCUAGCAAAACUAGCAAUCUCUAGGGUUGCCAUCCUCAGGAACCAAAGACAAGUCCGGUAUUCCCAUGCAAAGUCUGAUGUUGUUGAGCUCUUGAACCUUGGCCAUCAAGAACAAGCUCUUCUUCGUGUUGAGCAUGUGAUCAAGGAGCAAAAUAUGAUGGAUACAUUUGCUAUGAUAGAGGACUAUUGCUACCUUCUUAUAGAUAGGGUUAUGCUCCUCAAGAAGGACAAGGAAUGUCAUGAUGACCUCAAGGAGGCGAUUUCAAGCUUGAUCUUUGCAUCUUCCAGAUGUGGGGAAUUUCCAGAACUGCAAAAAAUUCGUGCAAUUUUUGUUACAAGAUUCGGGAGAGAAUUUGCUGCUUGUGCUGUUGAGUUGCGCAACAACUGUGGAGUGAAUUCUAAGAUUAUACAAAAGCUUUCAACACGACGGCCAAGCUUGGAAAGUAGAUUGAAAGUCCUGAAGGACACUGCUUUUGAGAAUGGUAUCGUCCUGAAUUUGGUGGAAGAUGCUUCUCUUGUUGUUGAGGAGAAAUUGGAUGUCAACCAAAAGCAAAAGCAGCAAGAAUCUUAUAAAUCAGUUAAAUUGCAAGAUACUGAGCCUGAAGAUGAAACCCACGUUUUGCCUGAGGAGUUGAUCCCAGGUGAGCAGUUAUCUGCAUCAUUGAAAGCAAGAAAGAAGUAUAGAGAUGUAGCUGCUGCUGCUCUACAGGCCUUCGAAUCAGCAGCUUAUGCAGCAGCAGCUGCAAGAGCUGCUGUUGAACUCUCUAGAUCCAAAUCUCAGGACACUGAUCAAGAUUAUCACAGUGGUUGUAGCCAUGGGGGAACCAAACAUGAUCUAGAGGACAGAAAAAACUUGAAUAAUGCAUCGAUUUUUGAAAAAAUCCAUCCAAUUGACAACACUAGUUCAGAAUCAGAAGGUGAAGAUCAUCUCAAAGCUUUGUCAAGGAGCAAAAAUAAGCCUGGGCUAAUAGGCAGGACACCAUAUACUUUAAGUUCAGAUUCUAACAGAAACACUCCAUCACUAAAGCACCAGGACUUGGAUUCUUAUAUAAAGCCUAGUUUUCCCACAAAUGAGAUCCAAAAUAUUGGUCAGUACAAAGCAGAUGGCGAGGAAUAUAGUUCAGAUAAGGAUGGGAGUAAGACUCCAUACAGAUCCCCAAAGUGGAUUCUACGGAAGCCUUAAUCUGAUUCCAUGGUAAAUCCCAUGGAAGGAAUAUCUAAGUUGAAUGACACACAUAGGGCAAAUUUGGCAGAGCAAUUAAAUUCAAAGCACUCAAGACUAGACAGGAGGCCCCUAUCAAUGAGAACUAGGAAGUACAGGGGGACUGAAAAGUAGAAAUGAUGAGAAGUGCAAUUUAUUUUUUCUUGGUUUCUGAGGUUCAAUAUCAAACACAUUUCUUUAUUUAUAAAAAUAAUCAGAUGACAUGUAGUUGAAUAAUGAAAUAAAGAUUCAAAUUUUUCUACGCAGGUAUUAAACAUGGAUGCUGAAGUAGACAAAAAUAAAUAUAGACGUUUAUAAUAAUUAAUCUUAAGAAUGCAUAGCAUUGGUUUCAUAUUUAAACUGAUGUUUGAAGUUGUGUAUUAGUUCACUUCUAUUAACAUGUAUUUAUUGUACAUGUCCAAUCUCUUGAGGACCUAAAAAUGCAUUACAUACUUGAGCAUGGAGUCCUGUUCUAAAAU